UCUCGAGAUGGGAGAAAAAUCACAGGCAAGGACAAAGGAAAACCGUUAAAUGCCAAAAAGGAAGACACAAAACUGUCACGACGGAUCCCCCCUCGUGGGCGCCCCGGGGAACACGUUACCGAACUUUGCCUGGAACGACUCACGCAGGAGGAAGGUACCAGCGUUCCGGACGCAGGCAGGGGACCAGCAUUCGGAACAGUAAGUGGUCCCAGUAAAGCUCGAGGACACAAACAUCCCAGUGGUAAGUGGACCAAGCCGCGUCUCCAAGAGACGGAGCUCGGAUGGCGCCUGAACCAAGGAAGAGGCGUCAGGGAAUCGAGUUGAAGUGAGCGCCCCUCCCCCAACGCGGUGACUGUGCCCCACCGGCUACCCCCCGUUCCAGCAGCCCCUCGUGGCACCCCCACUGCCCCUCCUUUCCUUGGCCACCGAUCACUGCCCGCAUGAGCCCCCCUAUCCUCAGCCCGUCGCCCUGCAGGGUCCCCACCUGAGCGGCCGCUGGGCCCCGUCCACGCGGUUGGGAGGGAGUGCCCGAGAGCUUUCGUUGCAAGCUCACGUCCCCUCCCCGCUGCAGGUGGACGUGGGGCCUGAGAGCCCGCCUCCCACCCGGCCCCACGCCCAGGGCGUCCUUCCCCGUCACAGCCCUCAGAGCUGGGCACUGCUGCGGGCCGGGCUCCAGGGAAAGAGGCUGAGCCGGACAGGGACGGGCACGCCAUCGCCAGGCCGCUGGAGCUCUGGGGGACAGAGGUGGGUCACCCGGGAAAGGCAGGCGGGAGGCCGGAGGCCUCCGAGUCAGCAGCGCAGCACAGGGGACCCCACGAGAGACACUCGGCGGUUCCCAGAGCUUCCAGAGACCCCGAAGGAGCAUCCGGAGGGGGCAGUCCGAUAGGAGGGCCUCCCCCCAGGCAGUGCGCACACGGCUUUCCUGGGCCACGGCUGCGUCGGAGGAGGUUCUGAGGUCCACGCUGGGCACAAUAUCCCGAAGGCCAAGGCGGGUGUGUCUGUAGGAUCUGGGGGUGACCAGGAAAGCCCUGGGCUUGGUUCCCCCGGGGCAGGAAAAGUUGUCCUGGGGAAAAGAUUAAUACGAGGCAUCUGUUUCCCCAGCGGCCUGGGGGCAGCCCGUGACCUCUGGUUAUCUCAGGGCCGCUGAGGGACAGAGGGCUGACCUGACCUGACCGGUCUGUUUCCUCCCUCCUCCAGCAGAACACAGACUCUUCGCGAGUUCCCGAGUUCCCGGGAGAGUCCGUGCCGUGCGGGCUAUUUUUGGGAGUCGGCGUGACGAAACGCUUAGAACUGUAAACAGCGUGCCGUCGUCACUCUCUGUCCCCAGUCCGCAUUUGCUCCACGUCCCUGGCGGUCUAGGAGCAGGGGCUCCUUCCAAAGGAAAGGGCGUUAUUUGGUAAGAGCCCGGCCGGCACCUGCCUGGCAACGUCCAAAACAGGAAGGAGUUCCUGGAGCAGAGACACCGUCCUGCCAAGGGCGGCCUCCGGAGGGCUGGGCGGGCGCUGUUUGCUCCCGGACGGCGAGGCGACAGUUCAGCUGUUCCUUCGGGGAGAGACGGCCGAGCGCCGAGUGUGCAGCAGCCAGCGAGGGGCGCGGGAGCCACGCGCGGGGCAAACACGGUCACGUGGCCCCGGCACGUGGUGGCCACGGGGGAGGCCGGAGGGGCGCACGCGUGGGGCGGCAGCCGCGCUGAGAGGCUCAGGCUUCAGGCCCGGGAGCUCAGAACUUGAACGUGCCCGUGACCCAGGGCCGCCCUCGGCCCAGCUUCGCCGUGAGCGGCACCCCCGGGGUCCGGCAGCCGCUCGGGCGGGCAGUGCCGAGCGCUGCACUGGCGGGACAGGCCGCAGGGCCCCCGGGCAGCGGGGGGACGUGGAAGGCUCCCCCAUCGGAGGCGCCCCCAUUUUACAAGGAGACACGCAGGUGCCGUGACGAGCUGGCUCUCGGCGAAUGUCGGAUCCGCAAGAAGACAGGGCCAGUGACGAGCCCGGGGGGCGGGGGGGGCAGUGGUAACUAAGGUGGUGCCGGUGGCUUUGUCCCUCCAUGGAAGCCCCCCAACCACACACACACAGCCACAACCAGAGUGGCAGAGUUCUGAGCCCUUAGCCCUGAGACAUGGCCCCCAGAGCCUGGGCCCUGUCCCCGCAUCCGGGAGAACAGGGGGGGAGCUUUCUGGGAUAGCCCGGGGGGGGCCAAGGCUGGGCUUGGCAGGGAAGGCCGUGACCUGCCCAACAGAGGGAGAGGGACCAGCCAAAGCUGUGGGGAUGCGCUGGCUCGGGUGGCUACAGAUGGGGAGGUCACGCUCUUUGCCAAGUGUGGGACGGAGAAGAGGAGCCACUGAGCGGGUGUCUGCGGGAUGACAGCACGUGCAGCUGGGCGCAGACCUGGGGACCACAGCGGCUGGUCCGGGACUGACCGCCGGGGAGCGGCCCGCCGGGGAAGGGUGCGAGGACGGGAGCCCGCGGGCCCGGGGUGGAACGGGGCUGCACCUGGGGGGGGGGGCACCCAGGAUGCCUGCAAGGGCCACCUUCUUGAGCUCAAGACCGGGCACAGCCCCUUAGAAGGAUAAUAAUUAGCCACCAGUGGUUUGCAUCUUUGUCCAGACGCUUUCCCAGGACUGGGAUGGGUGGAGCUGGUCGGAAGAGACACUGCCUGCCCUCGGGAGCCAGGGCCACCUGUGCGGGAGCACUGACGGCGUCACUCCAGACACAAAUGAACGCUGGGCUCAGACAAUCUCGGAAGUUUCUCCCGAGCCCGCCUCGGGCUCUCCGCCUCACCCGGGACACCCCCGUGCCCUGCGCCUGCUGGGGGUCAACGACCCGGGCUCCUUCUCUCCUGCUCCCCUGCUGGCUCGGGAGGUGACCAGCUGGUGAGGGACGCGCACGUGUCUGUGUUGGCUGUGCCCCUCCUUCCGUGUCCACCUCCCCAGUCAAGAGUUUUAUUUUUCCUUCUUUGGUUUUCCCUUCGUGCCUCCAACCACUUCAAGCCCACUGCCAGGCAGCCCAGAGUCUAGGAAUUAAAUCGAGCACCCAGCCCCCACUCAAGGCUGUGAGAGCACCGUCCACACCGUCCCGUCCACGGCCACACCAUCCACACUGUCCCAUCCAUAGCCACGCUGGCCACACUGUCCCAUUCACAGACACACCAUCCAUCCCGUCCCGUCCACAGACACACUGGCCACGGCCACACUGGCCACACUGUCCAUGGCCACGCCGUCCACGGACGCCCCCUUGGCACCGCCCUCACUGCCCCACCUGUGCCGAGCUGGAGCCAGGGCGCCCCUUGGGUGCCGUCCCUCCUCGUCCGGCGUCAUUUUUGCUCCUUAACCUUAUCCCUCCGAAGAAAGAAAAGGAGAGCAGCCGCUGAGGGCUUCCCAUCCUGUGCACACACACCACUCAGAGUUUCUAUCCUUUCUUCCCGAUGGCCUGCCUGCUCCGGACGUCCCUGGACCGGUCUCUGCAUUUUCCCAACGCCCGCCAUCCCGCCAGGUGCGUGGCCCCAUCACUCUUGUCCAUAGCACCCGGAUCUCCUCCCGAGUCCCCCGAGCAUCAGCGGCUGGAGAGAAGGUGACCCCGGUCCUCCCGGGGAAUCCCUCCUGGGUGUGGAUCUGUGCUCCUCCUCGGGGAGGGAGCCGGCCGCUGGUCCACGGAGCUUGCUGGCAGACAUCCUCUGUCCCCUCCACCCAGGGGCCCUUCGUGUCCCCCGGACCCCGUUGUGGUGCCUUGCGGGAAACGCGGUCGGCCACACAGGCUGCUGGGCGGCCCGCCUGCCUGGAGGCAGCACGCAGUCGGUGGCCCCGGGGGGAAGCUGGCCGGAGGAUUGCCCCUCACGGGACGGCUCCAAGGGCUGGACACCUGCCUGAAGGCGAUGAAGGGAAACAGGGAGACUAGGGCAUCCCUAGGCCAGCCCACUCUUUCCCCCCAUCAGCUGCAGGUGGUGGUAAUCCCAUUACCCCCCCAGAGCUCUGGGACCGGACCCUCGCUGGGAACUGGGGACACAGCGCGUGCUGGUGAGGAGGGAGGGCGGGGCCGGGGCCGUCCGGAGCGCUUGGGCUGCUAAGGGCCAGCCUGUCCCACGGGACGGAUCCUGCCUUGGGGGGUCGGGCACUGGCUUUUUAAAGAGGUGCGUGGGCGCCACCUUCCCCGCGUGGCCUCCUGGACGAGGUGCGGGGAUCCUGACCGGCUUCCCCCGGCUCAGGCCUCCCGUGAGGCGUCCCAUUAACCGGAGAUGGUCUUGUGCGGCCUCUUUUGUGUUUCAAAUAUCUAAGAGACAAAGUCAAGGUGUCUGGGGCGCUGUCACUGUCGUGACUCCCGAGGGCCGCGGUGCGGGUAGUCACAGGGGACAUACUUGCCCGUGUCACUUGCAUCCACGUGACGUCCGUGGGAAGGUGCCCGCUGGAGUCUCCUGGCAGCACAGGUGAGGCGGGAGGAGCCCUCAUCAGGGAGCGGGGUAACCCGCUCACUGAUCACUAAGAUGUGUCCUUCUGACCCCGGCACGGAUGUGUGGUAUGACGACUGUCUUCCUACAAUCAGUUUGGAGGUGUAGCAAAGACGAGCGUGGACAAGCAGCGGACAGGCCGUGGACAGGCUCGUCCCUGCCGAGCGCGCCUGCCUGCCCGUCCCCUGGCUCUCGGCCUCCCCCCGCUGCCCAGGACGCAGGAAACUGAGUGUGCCCCAAGGGGAAGCCGUGGGCUGGAAGGUGGGGGGCAGAUUGGAAUCUGGGAGGCGGGGGGACCAGCAUAUGACACAAGGACGUCGGCGGUCCGUGGGCGCGAACUCCCGGUACCCACAGCCGUUAGGACGCCUCACACAAUGUCCACUACACGAGCUCCCAGGUGAAAGAGGCCAGGACCGCGGCCCUGCGGUCCUGGGGCAGGGCCGGCCGGGGACGCUCCGGGGAGGUGGUCGCGUUUUGUGUCCUGAUGGGGUCUGCGUUACACGGAUGGACCCCACGGACAGAACUCACCAGCCCGGUCUGGAGGUGAAGUCUGGCCGGACGCGCCCUCCGGGGCGACCUCUGCCGGAUCUCAACCCCCCUGGGCACCCAGGUCCCGGCGGAGCUGCCCCAGGCCGGCCUCGUGACCCCGGCCCGGACUCCGUCGCCUCCGGACUUUUGCCGCCGUGCUGUGCCGUGCCGGAGCCCCUGCGCGCAAGCCCCUCGGCGAGCGUUAGCCCCUCGGGUGAACCCCUCCCCGGGUUUGCUGUUCGAGGAGACGCUGCUUUGGGAAGGAUCCCGCGUUCUCGUCACUGGCUGCAAACAAAACCCUUCCUCCUCCCGUUCUCUGGCCUGGUUGUGUCUUUUGUGUCCUCGACGCCCCAAGAGGGACCCCGGUCUCGGUGACAGCCGUGGCCUCGUGGGGGUGGGUCGCCCUUGAGUGGAGCGUACACAGCGUUUACGUGCAGCGUGGGAAAUGCACACGGUGCACAGGUGGGUGCGAGGCGCCACGAGCUGGCUCGGAGAGGGGUCCAGAGCUGGCCGAGCAGGCCCCGAGGGGCUCAGGGCCGGGGGUGCCUCCUCGGUGGACGUGCGUGCACGCGUACAGGCGUGCCAGGUGGCAGGUGGCAGGUGCUCCCUGGUGAUUGCAGACUGAACCGAGUGAAAGGCACACACCUGCGCACGACCACGGAAGGGAGGCGUCUCGGUCAGCCCGGGCACCGUAGCAAAUCAUCGCAGACCAGGCGGGGUCCGAACAACUUGCUUCCCGGAGCUCUGGAGGCUGGAAGUCCAGUCGGGUCCUGGCGGGAGCCCCCUGCUGGCUGCAGAGGGCUGACUUCUCCCUGAGUCCGGAGUCCGGGGCACUGGAGAGACGGGAUGCUUAUGCGGGGGAGGGGUGGGGAGAGACUCUAAUCCCAUCAUGGGCCCCACCCUCGUGACCUCAUCUACCUCUAAUGACCUCCCCAAAGCCCCACCCCCUAAUGCCAUCACCAGGGGAGGUAGGGUUUCAAGACACGAAUUCGGGGACGGCGGUGACGCGAGCUUCCUUCCGAAACAAGAUGCCGGAAGGGUAGGCUUGGCCUUGUAACAACGGGACAACACACACAGCGUGCGGGCGGCUGCCUUUCCGUGAGACGGUUGAGCUCCAGUCUGUGGAUGAGGAAUCCGUCGCGCCAGGGAGGUGAACGUCUCAGUGACCGAGAGGGAACGGCAGAGCAGGAGUUUGAACCUCGGUCACGUGCUCCCGAGCUUACGCUUGUAACCAUCAAGCCGGUGUGGCAGCGCCUGCCGAAUAGGACCCAGGGACCGUGGAGGGGACGGUCAGCAGUGACCUCAGAGAGGAUACUGGCAGGGGCAAGGUUGUGACAAGCAUGUCUGGGCUACUGAGCCAGGCUCAGCUGGUUGGCUGGAAGCCCAGUGCCCUCUGUGGACCCUGCUCGUUACCCGACUUCCAUCCAGAGUGGGCGUGUCUUCCCAAGAAACCUGAUCCAGAAGCGAUGCCUACAUUUACGAGAAACUGAAUGCAAUUAAGCGUGGCUUCAUUCAUUCAUUCAUCUGCCCAUCCGUCUUUCUAUUCCUUCCUCCUUCCUCCCAUCCCUCCAUCCUUCCAUCCAUCCAUUGAUCUAUCUGUCUAUCCAUCCAUCCUUCCGUGUCUCCAACCUUCCAAAGUUCCUUGAGGAAGUAACAUUAAGUUGAGUCAGAAACAGGAGAAAACGUGUUUCUCUCAACACAUUCAAUGGUCCCGAGGCACAGAAAGCAGGAGGAUUCGAGGAAAAGAAACCUGUUCGUCAUGAAGCAGAAUAAGCAAACAGAAGAGGGUAAGACAAGUCGGGAGAAAGGGGAAGAAGGCAGGUUGUGGAGGGUCUCGUGGCCACGUGAAGCAUUUUGGACCCGACCUGAGGAUGAGGAGAUGCUUUCAAUGCUGGCUGAAGACUUACAGCAGGGGAUGGGCAGGAUCAGAUUUGUGUUUUUGGAAGGUCUUACCCAUGGAUUAAGGUGGUGUCCAGUGGGAAUGGAGAAAAAGGAGGCAGGCUUUCGUCAUGGUCCUUGCGUGCGCCUGUAUGCUUGCGGUCAGCUUGACAUGCUGCGGUCCCCUAUGCGCUCGUGUGCACCUGUACGGAGCCCACCAUGCGACAGGCACAGCUCUGGGCUCUGGGGAGAUGACACAAGGCAGAGCAAGGAGUGUGGUCUGUGCCCUUGCGAAUUCUACGUUCUAGUGGGAGAGAUACACAAAACAGGCACCCAAAAGAGCACGCCAUCUCAGAGUCAGUUCGUAUGAUGGAGAAGUGGUGUAGCAAUGACGCAGACUGGGCGCAGACUGGGGAAAGGGUGCUGCCGUCCCGCCUGGGCCACGUAAGGAAGGCUGCUGGGGUGACAUCUUCACGGAGUCUUGAAGGGAGUGAGGGAGGAGCAUCCUGGAAGGGGAACAGGCAAUGCAGCGGCCCAGGGCACCGGGCAACCAGCAGGGAUCCCAUGUGACGGGGGCACAGAGACGGGCGGAGGGGGGCAGGAGACCGGGCCAGGGAGCCCGGCCAGCUGGAGGCCACCGGGUGGGGCUCCGGCAGCGGCUGGAGUGAACUGCCCACGUUUUAGGGCAUCUCUCUGGCUGCUGUUGGGGCGAGGCCGGGAGCAGGUGUAGC